rfam:Oreochromis niloticus linkage group LG8-24, whole genome shotgun sequence.
ACCCCAGUGGCCUAAUGGAUAAGGCACUGGCCUCCUAUGCCAGGGAUUGUGGUUUUGAGUCCCAUCUGGGGUG